AUGAGAGCAACGGAGGCAGAGGCGGGUGCCUGCUGGUGGUCGACAGCGAGCGGCGCGUCGAAUCCGGUAUCGUGCUGCGGACGCCGACGUCUUCUCGGGUCGACAGGGGCUAGAGUGAAGAGGGGGAAGUGGUCGGGGUCAGUGGUGCUGGGGAGUAGGGCCGACCAAGUGCGGUGGCUCAAGGCGACGGGGGAGCGCCGGUUGUGCCCUGGCUGCUCGCGUGCGGCUGCUCGGGGCGGUGGGGGAGGGCCCAGGCCAGCGGCACCAUGGGGGCAGGGACACGGGACGCCGCCGGUGGGGGCGGGGCCGCCGGAGGCUUGCAGGGAUGCUGGUGCAUAG
rnacentral:rRNA from 1 species